AGGCACAAGGUAAAAGAGGAAAAACAACAAUGGCAGUAGCCAGAUUUCCAUCUCUGGAGGUGAACUCCCUGUUGAAUUUGCAGGUGUUCAGGAUGUUUUUGAAAGUUAUCUAGCUUAUGAAUCACCAAAAUCCUAGAGUUAAGAACCCCUGGCUUAAUGGAAGUAAGAAGGGAACAAUGAGGAGAGGAAAUACAAGACAUACACAUACCUAAACCUCUAGACUCGGGCUCAG